rnacentral:rRNA from 1 species
ACACUCCUACGGGAGGCAGCAGUGGGGAAUAUUGGACAAUGGGCGCAAGCCUGAUCCAGCCAUGCCGCGUGAGUGAUGAAGGCCCUAGGGUUGUAAAGCUCUUUCACCGGUGAAGAUAAUGACGGUAACCGGAGAAGAAGCCCCGGCUAACUUCGUGCCAGCAGCCGCGGUAAUACGAAGGGGGCUAGCGUUGUUCGGAUUUACUGGGCGUAAAGCGCACGUAGGCGGACUAUUAAGUCAGGGGUGAAAUCCCGGGGCUCAACCCCGGAACUGCCUUUGAUACUGGUAGUCUUGAGUUCGAGAGAGGUGAGUGGAAUGCCGAGUGUAGAGGUGAAAUUCGUAGAUAUUCGGAGGAACACCAGUGGCGAAGGCGGCUCACUGGCUCGAUACUGACGCUGAGGUGCGAAAGCGUGGGGAGCAAACAGGAUUAGAAACCCCUGUAGUCCCAUG